rnacentral:rRNA from 1 species
CCGGCCCUCCGCGAGCACCCGCGGGGGUUCGGGUUCCGGACCCGGUCCGAUCCCGUUCCCACCGAGGGGCUGUCCGCGACUGAGGAGGUGUCCUCGGACGGCGUCGAAUCAUUCUCCGGUCCGCGACGCUACGGCUUGGAUGGUCCACCCGACCCGUCUUGAAACACGGACCAAGGAGUCUAACAUGCGCGCGAGUCGUUGGGUCGGACACGCUCCGCUAAACCCAUAGGCGCAAUGAAAGUGAAGGCCGCCGUCAGGGCGGCCGAGGGAGGACGAGGCCGCACCCGCGUUCCGGCGCGGUCGGCCUCCGCACCCCCGGGGCGUCUGAUCCCUCAUCGCGAGGGGAGGCGCACCCAGAGCGCACACGUUGGGACCCGAAAGAUGGUGAACUAUGCCUGGCCAGGACGAAGUCAGGGGAAACCCUGAUGGAGGUCCGUAGCGAUUCUGACGUGCAAAUCGAUCGUCGGAGCUGGGUAUAGGGGCGAAAGACUAAUCGAACCAUCUAGUAGCUGGUUCCCUCCGAAGUUUCCCUCAGGAUAGCUUGCGCUCGGAGGAGAGUCUCAUCCGGUAAAGCGAAUGAUUAGAGGCCUUGGGGCCGAAACGGCUUCAACCUAUUCUCAAACUUUAAAUGGGUGAGAACUCCGGCUUGCUCGACUUGUCGAAGCCGGAGACGGAUCGGAGUGCAUAUGGGCCACUUUUGGUAAGCAGAACUGGCGCUGUGGGAUGAACCAAACGACGGGUUAAGGCGCCCGAAUCGACGCUCAUGGGAAACCAUGAAAGUGUUGGUUGCUUAAGACAGCAGGACGGUGGCCAUGGAAGUCGGAAUCCGCUAAGGAGUGUGUAAUAACUCACCUGCCGAAGCAACUAGCCCUGAAAAUGGAUGGCGCUGAAGCGUCGUGCCUAUACCCGGCCGUCGCGGCAGGGCGGACCCGUUCGUCGGGUGCCGUUCGAUGCGGCGACGAGUAGGAGGGUCGCGGCGGCGCGCGCAGAAGGGUCUGGGCUCGAGCCUGCCUGGAGCCGCCGCCGGUGCAGAUCUUGGUGGUAGUAGCAAAUACUCCAGCGAGGCCCUGGAGGACUGAUGUGGAGAAGGGUUUCGUGUGAACAGCCGUUGCACACGAGUCAGUCGAUCCUAAGCCCUAGGAGAAAUCCGACGCCAACGGCGACGGGACUGAAUGAAAGAGAAAGAAACCCGUUGAUCGGGCGAAAGGGAAUCCGGUUCCUAUUCCGGAACCCGGCAGCGGAACCGCUGUUUGUCGGGCCCUCACAAGGGGUUCGUCAGGGUAACCUAAAAGGGCCCGGAGACGCCGUCGGGAGCCCCGGAAAGAGUUUUCUUUUCUGCAUGAGCGUUCGAGUUCCCUGGAAUCCU